UCUAUGUAUUUUGUUUUCAAAGAUAAAAAAAUGUAGUUUUAUAAAAUCUUUGAAAAGCAUGAUUAGAAAAUAUAUAUACUUUAGAAAAAAAAAUCUGAAGAAAAAUUCUACCGAAUUUCUAAAACACUUACCAAUCAUCAUCAUUGUCACUAUUUUUAAAAUUUAUCGGUUAUGUUUUUAUGCAACUUCGUACCGAUCAUCACUUUUAUUUUUCUAAUUUUAUUUUUGAAAAUUAGCAUAUACCAAAUUAUUUUUAAGAAAACAUCCAAGAUUCCAACUUUAUCUCAGUAUUUAUCUUAAUAUUAUAUGUUAUCCAUAUAUAAUUUUAGGAUGAGUUAUUACACAUCUAAGACCAAACUAAUAUAAUUAAUACAGUUGAUUCAAUUUGGAUGAAUGAGAUUAAAAUAGUUAUACUUUAAUUUGAAAGAAUAUAUGUAACAUAAUAUACUCACAAAAUGAGUAACUAAACUAAUCAAUUCUUUUAUCUAAACUAAAAAAUUUAACUAAGAAUAAUAUAUUAUUAUUUGUAGUAAUAUAUUUAUACAUAUAAAUUAUAGAACAACUUAACAUAUCAAUAAAUAAAUAUGAAAUUUUCAAAUAAUAUGAUAGAAAUAUUAAUAUCUAUCUAUCUAUCUAUCUAUAAUAAUAAAGUAGACUGUAGUAUCUCCGGAAUGCGCCACGUCAUCAGGAAGAAGUGGGCGUUUUACGCCACGUGUCCUCCUGCUUUGUUUCGAACUUUCGAUGAUGCAACGAUGAAUUAUUCUAAUGGGCCAUACUUCUCUUAUAAAAGUGAGCCCAACAUAUUAUCGUGUUCUUAUAACUUUCUUUGAAGGCUGGUACAAUGAUUUUUUACCAUAAGCAAUAUUCUUUUUGUUAAAAAAGGUUUUCUCUCUUCGUUAACAACGUAGCUGCGUUCUAUCACCGUGACUCUUGGGAUUUCAAAACCUCAGACCAACGCCUCUGUAACGUCUUCAGAUUUUGCCUAUACAUUUAUCCAAGCAUUAACGUUGUUCCUACCACUCCUACCAGCAUUAAGUCGGCCUUAUCAUCCACCAAGGUAGCCGUUCAAAACACCAAAAAGUGUUCUUCCCCUGCGAGGACAGACGCACUGCAACGAAAUCCAAAGGUCAAUCACAAUCAAGCAACAACUCUGUCAAUGGCGAAAUCUUACACUUUUUUUGCCGAUUCGAAGGCUGGUCGCUGCUCAAACACGGUGGAUUAAUACAAAGGUUACAACUCCGAAAUCUGUUUAUUUGUUCUGUUUAUUCUCUAAGCAGCUUUGAUGUUACAUUGAGCCAAAAAAAACUUGCGACUCUCGGAUACGUCGUUAAUCACAGAUUCGAUAAAGUCAAUACAAACUGAAAUAUUUUGAUUCCUUGACUACGAUGGCAAAUACCGACAAACAGUUACCUGAUAUACUUGGUGAGCUUUUUGCAAUCAGGAACACAACGUGUUAUGCCUACUUUGCGUAUAUAAAGGUACUCGCUACAUUUGGGAUUCCCAUGGCUGUCAUCUUUUACAACUAUAAAUGUUAUCGUCCUCUCCUCUCCAUGGCAAUUUUAUUGAAUCUUUACAGAGAUGUGAAUGUAGUAACUCUUUUUGACUGGUUUAUCUUUUGCAUUUCAUGUCAAAUUUGAAAGCUAUGGUUCUGAACCAAAAUUUAUGUUGGUCAUUAGCAUCAAUCCUAAGGUUGUUGGUGGUGAGUAAACUUAAUAUUCCUUUUCUCUCCUGCAGUUAGACAAAACCUCUCUCCCAUGCGGUUAAUGUUGAUGUAUUGAGUUUUACAAACAAAUAUAGCAUUCUCUUAACUAACUUCCCAUUAUGCAGGCCGUUUUUUAAAUACAACUUCUGGAACCCACAUCUAAUUUGUCUCAGACACAGCUGUCGGAAAAGAACACUGUGAAAAUUAUUUGGGGAUGUCUCAAACCAGACUGGCUCUUCAUCAAAGCUGCUUCAUGCCUAGAAAAUAGAACCUCUAAUCUGAGCUUAACCAAUGUGUUCUCACAUCUGAGCCACGGGUCAAAGUUACAUAAAUCAUUAUUUAAUCCUGAAAUUGUUGAUGCUAAUUGUUAUAGUCCUCUUACUGAUGACAGAUAAUUGAGAUUCUCUGCACCAUCAAAGUUACUGGUAUCCAGACAGAAUAAGAAUGGCGCUAUAUAGGUUGUUCAACAUGUUCAAAGAAACUUCAGAGAUAAAUUUCUUCUUUCACAUGCAUCGUAUGUGAUAAUACCAGCGCUGUAGGCGUUCUCAGGUAUCAAGUUGAGCUGUCUGUCUCAGACCAGACGGAUGAAACUUUCUUUGUGGCUUUUGAUGUGGAGAUGACUAAGUUAACCAACAUUCAAGCUGCUGAAGCCGACCAUAUUUUGGUA